rnacentral:lncRNA from 1 species
UUGCUUAGGCUCCGCUCCAUUGCCAAUAAAGGUAGCAUCCAACUAUAAAAUCCGUAGGGUGUAUUCAAGGACUCCUACAAAACAAGAGACUCACUUGUGCUGGUAGAAAAACCUAUACCUAAGAAACUCAUUUUCCAAUCAGAAAUAUCUGUUUUUCAAUAGUUCAACUAAAUGGGAGGACAUAAAACUCAACGGAAGUCUUCUUUUUCUUUUUUUGGCAUCUUCAAAAUCAAGAAGAGUCAUAUAGGUGGUGGGAACGAUACAUGGGAUGACUCAAUGAAGGCUUAUAAAGUGUAUCCAAGUGAUCAAGACAGAGCAGGACGUUGGGCUGAUCCUCGUAUUGACAACAAAGCUUCUGUUUACAUCGACACCAUCACAAACAAAUGGAACCAUGUUGAGGUAUCAGGUUGAUUGACUUCAUGGUUCGGAUGAACCAGAUGAACGAACCCCUUUGUGCAUUCAUCAUGUAGCAUGUAUAAUACUAGCUAGCUAGCCAAUAUUUCAAUUGCAAAUAUACAAUAAAUUGGUUAAUUAAUUUGACAUCAUUGUUACAAUUUAUCUUGGCGUUACCAUUUUCAAAAGUUCAUUUACGGUUGAUAUGAUAUCAAGAUAUUUCCGAAUCUAUAGUUCUAUCUCUUUCUUCAAAAGUUUUUAUUAUUUCAUGGAUGCCAUAUAUAUAUAUAUAUANNNNNNNNNNNNNNNNNNNNNNNNNNNNNNNNNNNNNNNNNNNNNNNNNNNNNNNNNNNNNNNNNNNNNNNNNUAUAUAUAUAUAUAUAUGAAAAUCUCCAGAAAAGUCCUAAAAUUUUAUCCUAAUUUACGAAAAAGUCCCAAACUAAAAUUUGUUUACGAAAAAACAUGAAUUACCGGUAAAAAUAACGAUUUGACCCAUUUUCCCGGUUUACCGGUUUCAUUACUUACCUGUUUCAUUAAAGUCACAUUAUUUUACCCUAAUUUACGAAUAAGUCUCAAACUAAAAUUUAAUGAUGAUUUGAGCAUUUUCUCUAUGUAACAUACAUUUUAGUGGUUUCAUUUUUGACCCGGAUGCCUAAUCAUUAAAUGAGUUGAUGAAAUGAAUAUGUUGAGUUAAUAUAAUGUUAUGUUUUGCAUAAAACUUGAUAUCUUGAUCUAUUGUAUAUUUUUUUGAAAAUAAAAUGUAUCCAACAAAGACUACAAUAAUUACAUAAACUAGCAACAACUACGUUUGUUUUUACGUUUAUAAGAAAUAUCAAAUUGUCUAUCUAAUCUUAUGUAACCCAAUAUAUCCAUCUUUUCAGACAUCUACUCAUUUUCUGCCAUUUUUUCCUCGAAUCACACAUUUUAUUGGUUUCUUGCUGACCUAGAUACAUAGUCAUAAAUGAGUCGAUGAGAUGUAUAUCAAAUUUUACAGUAAAUGUAGCAUUAUAUAACUCAUCGUAUCUAUCUUAUCAGCUAAUUUAAUGACUAGGUGCCUAAGUCAGCAAUGAAACCGAUAAAUGUAUGUUACAUGAAGAAAAUGGUCAAAUCAUCACUAAAUUUUAUUUUGGGACUUAUUCGUAAAUUAAAGUAGAAUAAUGAGGUAUGCUCUGGGGGAGCCCAUGGCAUCCUUAUGCAGGGAUAUAUGGUAGAUAUAAUUUUUAUAGCUAAUUUUGUGUGGUAGAGAUAGCUUUAUGGCUAAUAUGAUAUGUUAUGUGGUAGAGAUAGCUUUUAUAGCUAAUAUGUUAUGUGUUAUGUGGCUUGUGUGUGGGGUAUGCUCUGGGGGACUCACUAAGCAUUAGCUUACAGUUUAUGGAUUUGUUUCAGGUACACUUGAGCCCAAAGGCAAGGGCAAGGUUUGAUGGUGCGGCGUGCACUCUCUCACCGACAUUUUAUGGGAUACUCUAAUGUUUUUAACUAAAGUUGUAAUGAAUGUAGAUUUAAAAACUAUUG